UCGGAUUGCAGGCUGAAACCCGCCUGUAUGAAGUUGGAAUCGCUAGUAAUCGCGGAUCAGCAUGCCGCGGUGAAUACGUUCCCGGGCCUUGUACACACCGCCCGUCACACCAUGAGAGUCGGGAACACCCGAAGUCCGUAGCCUAACCGCAAGGGGGGCGCGGCCGAAGGUGGGUUCGAUAAUUGGGGUGAAGUCGUAACAAGGUAACCGUAA
rnacentral:rRNA from 1 species